rnacentral:tRNA from 1 species
UAGUGAUUAGUUUAAUAAAAACAAAUGAUUUCGACUCAUUAGACUAUGGAUCACCAUAAUCACUAA